UACGUAGGGUGCAAGCGUUGUCCGGAAUUAUUGGGCGUAAAGGGCUCGUAGGCGGCCAACUAAGUCAGACGUGAAAUCCCUCGGCUUAACCGGGGAACUGCAUCUGAUACUGGAUGGCUUGAGUUCGGGAGAGGGAUGCGGAAUUCCAGGUGUAGCGGUGAAAUGCGUAGAUAUCUGGAGGAACACCGGUGGCGAAGGCGGCAUCCUGGACCGACACUGACGCUGAGGAGCGAAAGCCAGGGGAGCAAACAGG
rnacentral:rRNA from 1 species